rnacentral:lncRNA from 1 species
UGCAUUCCAUAACCAAACAAAAAACUCAAAUUAGCUAAGUAACCAAAAUAUUCUUCUCUCUCUUCCUUUCCCUUCCUAUCUCUCUCAUCCCUCUCUCUAAAAAUCUAAUUUUAGUUUUUUUCUUGGUUAUUUCACAAAUUCUCCCAAAAAAAUACAUAUAUGACAAAGUCAGACAAACAGCAAAACAUCUAAUCCUAAAAGCGGGAUAGACGUCCUCUGAACACUACAACAAUACAAACUCACCAGUUAUAGUCACAAUUAUAAACACAACUACUGCACAAUUUAAACAAAUACUCCAUCAACUGCAUCAAAUCCUUCGCAACAUACAGUAACGGGAAAAAUCAAACUCAACAACCCCGCGCUUGCGCGGGGCUCCGCACCUAGUUAACAUAAAGACUCGAUAUGGUAAGGUCUAACGCACCUCACUGAAUCCUAUAGGAUAAUAAUAGAAACAUGUAGUUUGUCAAUAUCGCUCGAAGUUACAUUCCUUAGCUGCGUGGGCAACUCCAUUGUGUUGUUUGUCCAGUUGACUAGCACAAGAACUACCCAUACAAGCCCUUCUACUGGAGCAAAGACCUUAACCUGCGCAUAAAAGAAAUCAAAAGAGAUAUGUUUAUGAAAUCAUUUGAGAGAGAAGACUAACAAAAAUCGUCGUUAGGAGGUUCACAUAUGAAACGUGUAAUGUGAAUUUAAUAUAUUUAUGCUACAUACAUUCUUUGGCAUGAUUGGCUCAACUGCUCAGCAUCUAAAUUAAUUUAUCCAUGUGAGUAUAUAAUAAGAAGUUACGUUCCAAAUGUGAUUUAUGUAAUAUGAACUCUUGUUCCAAAUGUGAUUAUAUUAUCAUCUGAAGUCUUGUUCCAAGUUUCAUAAAUAUAUAUGCACAAAUAGUUACAAUACAAAUAUUAAUAGUAUGUCGGAAGAAAAUAUAUGAGCUUACUAGUAGCCAAGUUUAAAAAGAAACCCACGACUACAUGUGCUAAAGGAAAGCAUGAUGUUCUUCUAUCUUUAAUUCAGAUGACGGACCUUUAAAAUGGCAAGCAGACUAAAGCCACUAAAACAGAAAUUCGUGUUGUUUUUACUACGACGAACGGAAGAAACUGAAGAAGACAUGUUGCUCUGCAAUUGCGUGAUGCCUUGGGACGAGAUACUGUUUGAUCCAAUAAUGGUGUUUAUGUUGGUAGUUUUAGUUGAAUCAAUACAAUAAAAGAAUCUAAAGAAGAUGAAUAGAUUCUUUGAGGUUUAAAGAGAAAUCAACAUAGAAAUCAAAUAGAAAAUGAACAUCAAAAGAGUUUAUUGAUUUAAGAUUGUAUUACAUGUAGGAUUACAAGUGUAAAUAAAUCUAAUAAUCUAUAAACCCUUUGUAAGAAGUGUUCUAAGUCUAAAAUGGAGAAGAAGACAUCUUUGAUAAAGAGAGGUAUCUCUCUAUUUAUACAAAGAAAAAGCUAGGGCUUCAUAGUAAAAUGGGUCUAAUUUAUUGUCUAAUGGGCCUUGAGGUAGGAUGUAAAUCCACCUCCAACAAUAAGUCCCCCCAAGUUCGUAGAGAGAGAUGAAAUCGAUCUCUGUGAAUUUUACGAAUAGGGUUUAUUAGACAAUAAACUAGACACAUUCAUGCCUAUGACGGUUUAGGCGAGUUUAUUUUGAACUUGUGCCUAGUAAAAGGCGAGUUUGCUUUAAACUCGUGCUUAGUGAAAGACGAGUUUACUUGACUCAUGCUGAGACAGAGGCGAAUUUACUGAGAACUCGCGCCUAGUAGAAGGGAAGUUUCUGUAAACUCAUGCCUAGUCAAAGACGAGUUUUUGUAAACUCGUGUCUAACAAUAAGCGAGUCGACCGCAAACUCGUGCCUAAUAAAAAGCAAGUUCAAUUUAAACUUGUUCCUAAAGUACACGUUUACCGAAUUAUUGCCAACCCGAAGUCUCGUGUUGAGAUCGUGUGUGCCAAACAAGUAGUUGGUGUGUAUGCUUGUCUAGCUAUGACAACGUUGAGAAACGUGCUGGUUUGUGUCGCUUGUACUGCUUCCGGCGGCAAGCUCACAGCUGAGAGAUCGCCAUUCCAAGCAUGAGGACAUGAUAGUAGCAUUCACUCGUUGAUCCUCUUUGGCUCGACGUUACGUAAUCAACUCUGGUUCACAAGAGGAAUGAUUAGAUCACGUCAAUUCUAAGAGAAAUAAACAAGUUUUGCAUAAUCACUAAGUAAGCGAUGGAACUUGUUUUGCUUAAUGCUUGUGAGUUGAACAUGAUGAUGUAUUAAUUAUCAACUUAUUAAUAUCAUAAGCUACCAACAGUAAAGCAAAUAACAAAACUCACCCCAUAAAAAGUCAUACGAGAAUGUGUUGUUUAAUAAUAUAAACCAAAGCUAUAAUGCCUAACACAUGUGUGUAAUUUCAAAGUGAUUAAAGCAUGUAAUGAUUUGAUAAGAGAGCUUAUCUUUGGUGGUGAGGAAGAAACAAGCGUUGAGGUUGAGAUUAUGUGACUGCCAAGAUCGAGCUGUUACUGAGAUGAUCUCCAAGCAAUGCCAAGAUCACGUCAUACUGAGAAGUAAAGCUCUUGGGGAACAAUCGGAGACUGAACAUGCUGGUAGAGAGUAGACUUCUGUAGCUGAAUCCAAUGAAGAGGCUAAGACGCGAUCUUGACGACGUCAAGCUCAGGAAGCAAGCUUCUAGCGGUGGAGCUGUCUGUAGAAAACGUGGACAGUGCUCGUGCCAAGCUGUUUGCAGGAAGCGACAAGCUCUCGAGUUAAGAUCAGUAUUGCUGCUCUUGUUCUUGUCUUUGCUGUUAAGUCAAGGUGAUGGAUCAGUAUUGCUGCUCUUGUUCCUUGGUCCAUUUCUGAGCCAUCCAAAGUUGAGAAAGACGAGCACCAGGAAUCUGAUACUCGCAGCUCCUUCUCUGUGGUUCUCUGGAGCUUCAAGCUUGGUCCACUCUCGGUUCGAGCCAAGGAAUCUGAGCUCUGCACUCUGUAUCUUCUAAAGCAGCAGCAGCACACCCUUGACUAUCUCUUGAACCAUAACCACCUGAAAGGUGAAUUGCCUUUAGAGAUCUCCAAGCUUCUGCAGCUUCAACAUCAAGGCGAGCUCAGUGGUGGCAAGACCUAGCUCCUUAGCUCAAGAUCUCGAGAUAAGCUUGCCGUGAUUGGCAAAUGCUUCUCAAACUUCUCAUGAGACAUCAUCAUGGCCCUUGGCAUUAACAAGAUUCUUGAGGCCCAAAAGCUCUCGCCAUCUGGUCACACAUGACAAAGGAGGAAGCUUUCUCAUGGAGCCUUGCUGUUGAUGGAGCUCGAACCCGGUGGAGAGGCUUUGAGCCGGGAAGAUUAUGACGGCUUGAUAAAGCUUCAAACUUUCUCAUUUGCUCCAGCAAGAGCCAUAAAUGUCCCGAGGAGGAGGAGAUAUAUGAAGCCGAGAUCAAGUAUCGCGAGGUCGUCGUUGCUCAGAUCAAGCAUCACGAGGUCACCAUUGCACAGGCUGAGGCGACGAGUGAUUAAACUCAAGACGUGGCGGUGGAGACAAGGUCGAGCUAGCUUCGCCGAGAUCAAUUCUCGAGGUCUGUUGCAAUCGUUCUGAGCCAAGAGGAAACAGAGGCGACCAGCUCCUCGUUGGUUUCGAAGUCGGAUAAGCUGUUGCCACCGUGAAGAGAUGACAAAGUGACGAGAUGAUUUGAUUCAUCGUUACGGCUUUCUUCAUGGACUUGAAAGAAGCUCGACAAGUCACCGGUGGAUCGAGGUGAGUUCGGCAUGUGAUUGAACUCGACGUGGUGGUGGAGAAACGAAUUGACGAGUUCGUCAUCCAUGAAGACGAGAUGCCCAGAUCGGAAUUGACGAGUUCGUCACCGACGGAACGAGACUCAACCAUCGCGAGGUUGCAAUCGCCGCUCCGAGCCAUCUCCACAAGCCGAAGGACCAGACGAGGGCUCUCUGAGAAUCAAAAGCAAAGCUUUCACGGUCGUUCAAGAAAGCUUCGAACUUUCCCCUAACCAAAGUCGUGUAUUGGUGAAGAAACAAAAUGACAUUGUUGAUUUUUUUUUUUUGGGUAGAUCUAGGGUUUUUCCAAACUUGAUUUGUUUUGAAGAUAGUUCUCUUUGGCCCCCUCCUUCUAGCGCCAACUGUUUGAUCCAAUAAUGGUGUUUAUGUUGGUAGUUUUAGUUGAAUCAAUACAAUAAAAGAAUCUAAAGAAGAUGAAUAGAUUCUUUGAGGUUUAAAGAGAAAUCAACAUAGAAAUCAAAUAGAAAAUGAACAUCAAAAGAGUUUAUUGAUUUAAGAUUGUAUUACAUGUAGGAUUACAAGUGUAAAUAAAUCUAAUAAUCUAUAAACCCUUUGUAAGAAGUGUUCUAAGUCUAAAAUGGAGAAGAAGACAUCUUUGAUAAAGAGAGGUAUCUCUCUAUUUAUACAAAGAAAAAG